rnacentral:rRNA from 1 species
GAUCCAGACUCCUACGGGAGGCAGCAGUGGGGAAUAUUGCACAAUGGGGGGAACCCUGAUGCAGCGACGCCGCGUGGGUGAAGGAGCACCUCGGUGCGUAAAGCCCUAUCGGCAGGGAAGAAACAGACGGUACCUGACUAAGAAGCCCCGGCUAACUACGUGCCAGCAGCCGCGGUAAUACGUAGGGGGCAAGCGUUAUCCGGAUUCACUGGGUGUAAAGGGAGCGUAGACGGCGACGCAAGUCUGGAGUGAAAGCCCGGGGCCCAACCCCGGGACUGCUCUGGAAACUGCGGCGCUGGAGUACGGGAGGGGCAGGCGGAAUUCCUGGUGUAGCGGUGAAAUGCGUAGAUAUCAGGAGGAACAUCGGUGGCGUAAGCGCUUUACUGGGCCGUAAUUGACACUGAGGAACGAAAGCCAGGGUAGCAAAUGGGAUUAGAUACCCUCGUAA